AAGAAGCUUGCUCUUAUGAAGUUAGCGGCGGACGGGUGAGUAACACGUGGGUAACCUGCCCAUAAGACUGGGAUAACUCCGGGAAACCGGGGCUAAUACCGGAUAACAUUUUGAACCGCAUGGUUCGAAAUUGAAAGGCGGCUUCGGCUGUCACUUAUGGAUGGACCCGCGUCGCAUUAGCUAGUUGGUGAGGUAACGGCUCACCAAGGCAACGAUGCGUAGCCGACCUGAGAGGGUGAUCGGCCACACUGGGACUGAGACACGGCCCAGACUCCUACGGGAGGCAGCAGUAGGGAAUCUUCCGCAAUGGACGAAAGUCUGACGGAGCAACGCCGCGUGAGUGAUGAAGGCUUUCGGGUCGUAAAACUCUGUUGUUAGGGAAGAACAAGUGCUAGUUGAAUAAGCUGGCACCUUGACGGUACCUAACCAGAAAGCCACGGCUAACUACGUGCCAGCAGCCGCGGUAAUACGUAGGUGGCAAGCGUUAUCCGGAAUUAUUGGGCGUAAAGCGCGCGCAGGUGGUUUCUUAAGUCUGAUGUGAAAGCCCACGGCUCAACCGUGGAGGGUCAUUGGAAACUGGGAGACUUGAGUGCAGAAGAGGAAAGUGGAAUUCCAUGUGUAGCGGUGAAAUGCGUAGAGAUAUGGAGGAACACCAGUGGCGAAAGCGACUUUCUGGUCUGUAACUGACACUGAGGCGCGAAAGCGU
rnacentral:rRNA from 1 species